rnacentral:rRNA from 1 species
UACGUAGGGGGCAAGCGUUGUCCGGAUUUAUUGGGCGUAAAGAGCGUGUAGGCGGUUUGGUAGGUCCGUUGUGAAAACUCGAGGCUCAACCUCGAGACGUCGGUGGAAACCGUAUGGCUAGAGUCCGGAAGAGGAGAGUGGAAUUCCUGGUGUAGCGGUGAAAUGCGCAGAUAUCAGGAAGAACACCCGUGGCGAAGGCGGCUCUCUGGGCAGUAACUGACGCUGAGGAGCGAAAGCGUGGGGAGCGAACAGG